GACGUCGAAUGCUCGAGCUCGCGAGCAGGAGACGGAGAACGACAACCUACGUUCUGUUUUGGCUCGUGCUCCUGAGGAGGCAAUUGAGAAGUAUAAGGCCUCAGCUGAAUAUGCUAGAGAUCUCAAGGCAUCUGUGGAACAGUAUAAGACGUCGUCUGAUUACGCUAGGGCUUUGAAUUCAUAUGGGGGGAAGGCGAUGUCAGCGUCUAUCAAAUUCUCCAAAGAGUGGAUUAUGGCCGAGCAUCCUUCUAUAGACCCCUCUGGCCUGGAUAGAUUUCUUGCGCAGUGCAAAGGAAAGGAGAGUGCACCUCAGUC
rnacentral:lncRNA from 1 species